CCUACGGGCGGCAGCAGUGAGGAAUAUUGGUCAAUGGACGAGAGUCUGAACCAGCCAAGUAGCGUGAAGGAUGACUGCCCUAUGGGUUGUAAACUUCUUUUAUAUGGGAAUAAAAUGUUCCACGUGUGGGAUUUUGUAUGUACCAUAUGAAUAAGGAUCGGCUAACUCCGUGCCAGCAGCCGCGGUAAUAAGGAGGAUCCGAGCGUUAUCCGGAUUUAUUGGGUUUAAAGGGAGCGUAGGUGGAUUGGUAAGUUAGUUGUGAAAGUUUGCGGCGCAACCGUAAAAUUGCAGUUGAAACUGGCAGUCUUGAGUACAGUAGAGGUGGGCGGAAUUCGUGGUGUAGCGGUGAAAUGCUUAGAUAUCACGAAGAACUCCGAUGGCGAAGGCAGCUCACUGGACUGCAACUGACACUGAGGCUCGAAAGUGUGGGUAGCAAACAGGAUUAGAUACCCCAGUAGUC
rnacentral:rRNA from 1 species